GACGAACCACACGAACGUUAUUCGGAAUUACUGGGCUUAAAGGGUGCGUAGGCGGCGCAGAAAGUUGGGUGUGAAAUCCCUCGGCUCAACCGAGGAACUGCGCCCAAAACUACUGUGCUUGAGGAAGAUAGAGGUAAGCGGAACUUACGGUGGAGCGGUGAAAUGCGUUGAUAUCGUAAGGAACACCUGUGGCGAAAGCGGCUUACUGGGUCUUUUCUGACGCUGAUGCACGAAGCCAGGGAGCAAACGGG
rnacentral:rRNA from 1 species